GCCCAGAUAGCUCAGUUGGUAGAGCAGCGGAUUGAAAAUCCGCGUGUCGCUGGUUCGAUUCCGGCUCUGGGCA
rfam:Rhizobium lusitanum strain P1-7 genome assembly, contig: Ga0061101_103